rnacentral:rRNA from 1 species
UACAGAGGGUGCGAGCGUUGUUCGGAAUUACUGGGUGUAAAGCGCGCGCAGGCGGCCCUUUAAGUCCAUCGGUCAAAUGCCGGAGCUCAACUCCGUGCGUGCCGAGGAUACUGGAGGGCUGGAGACACGUAGAGGCAAGCGGAAUUCCGGGUGUAGCGGUGGAAUGCGUAGAGAUGCGGAGGAACACCGAUGGCGAAGGCAGCCCCCUGGGCUAACACUGACGCUCAGGCACGAAAGCGUGGGGAGCAAACAGG